rnacentral:rRNA from 1 species
UGGGGAAUAUUGCACAAUGGGCGAAAGCCUGAUGCAGCAACGCCGCGUGAGUGAUGAAGGUCUUCGGAUUGUAAAGCUCUGUCUUUUGGGACGAUAAUGACGGUACCAAAGGAGGAAGCCACGGCUAACUACGUGCCAGCAGCCGCGGUAAUACGUAGGUGGCGAGCGUUGUCCGGAUUUACUGGGCGUAAAGGGUGCGUAGGCGGAUGUUUAAGUGAGAUGUGAAAUACCCGGGCUUAACUUGGGUGCUGCAUUUCAAACUGGAUAUCUAGAGUGCAGGAGAGGAGAAUGGAAUUCCUAGUGUAGCGGUGAAAUGCGUAGAGAUUAGGAAGAACACCAGUGGCGAAGGCGAUUCUCUGGACUGUAACUGACGCUGAGGCACGAAAGCGUGGGUAGCAAACAGGAUUAGAUACCCUGGUAGUCCACGCCGUAAACGAUGAGUACUAGGUGUAGGAGGUAUCGACCCCUUCUGUGCCGCAGUAAGCACAUUAAGUACUCCGCCUGGGCAAGUACGAUCGCAAGAUUAAAAACUCUAAAAGUGAAUUGA